rnacentral:lncRNA from 1 species
AGGCGGAGCUGGGUGAAGCCGAUGGAGCGGAGUUGCAGCACCUGGUGGCCGCCGAACAGCAGAAGGCGCAGUUUACUGCACAGGUGCAUCACUUCAUGGAGUUAUGUUGGGAUAAAUGUGUGGAGAAGCCAGGGAAUCGCCUGGACUCUUGCACUGAAAAUUGUCUCUCCAGCUGUGUAGACCACUUCAUUGACACCACUCUUGCCAUCACCAGUCGGUUUGCCCAGAUUGUACAGAAAGGAGGGCAGUAG